UGGUAUCUGGCUCUCGAGAUUCGGAGAACGAUGCCUCUUCGAUUUUUGAGAAAGCAAUCAUGUUGGGGGUCUGACUCUCGAGAUUCGGAGAGCAGUGUCUCUUCGAUUUUUGAGGAAGUAAUCAUGUUGGGAGUCUGGCUCUCGAGAUUCGGAGGGCGGCCUCUUCGAUUUUGGAGCAAGCAAUCUUGUUGGGAGUGUUGUCUCGAAUGUGAGUAAAGGUUGGACAUGUUUGCUAGUCUACCUUGCCACGAAGCACAAAGGUUGACACAUAGGGACUUUCCAAUUAUCCAGCAAUGGUACUGUUCCUUUACCCUCUCUUCGAUUUUGAGAAAGUAGUCAUGUUGGGAGUCUGGCUCUCGAGAUUCGGAGGACGGUGCCUCUUCGAUUUUGGAGCAAGCAAUCUUGUUGGGACUGUUUUCUCGAAUGUGAGUAAAGGUUGGGCAUGUUUGCUAGUCUACCUUGCCACGAAGCACAGAGGUUGACACACAGGGACUUUCCAAUUAUCCAGCAGUGGUACUGUUCCUUUACCCUUGUGGGUAAUAAUAUGGUAGCUAGACCUUCAAAAUUUAUGUGUCUAAACUUUGUUAGUGCUGUUUCUUUGCUAUUCUUUUACCUUUCUUGGUCAGAGCGAUGUAGUGGGAGCUGCAAGCUUCACGUGCUCAACUUUGGCAGAGAACUUUGGCAAAGUGAUCUGUGGUACCCAUGAGUUAUUGUUGCGUGUGGGAAGUGGGUGAUUGAACAGUAAGAUUCAUGUGCUUUCUACUUCACCAGAAGUCUUCGACAGAAUGCCCAUAAUUUCUGCAAAGCUGAGUGUGCGUGUGACAGGUGCUGACAAGGCUAGAAAAGUAGGUGCCUCUUUGAUUUCUGAGAUCGGCCCUCGUGGUCUCUGAGCAGCCCAGCUUUUGAGAAAGCGAGCGCCUCUUCGAUUGAUUCGGAGAACGGUGCCUCACCGAUUUUUGAGAAAGCAAUCAUGCUGGGGGUCUGGCUCUCGAGAUUCGGGGAGCAGUGUCUCUUCGAUUUUUGAGAAAGUAAUCAUGUUGGGAGAGUGGCUCUCGAGAUUCGGAGGGCGGUGCCUCUUCGAUUUUGGAGCAAGCAAUCUUGUUGGGAGUGUUUUCUCGAAUGUGAGUAAAGGUUGGGCAUGUUUGCUAGUCUACCUUGCCACGAAGCACAGAGGUUGACACACAGGGACUUUCCAAUUAUCCAGCAAUGGUACUGUUCCUUUACCCUCUCUUCGAUUUUU
rnacentral:lncRNA from 1 species